UCCGUAGGUGGAUAAUUAAGUCAGAGGUGAAAUCCUGCAGCUCAACUGUAGAAUUGCCUUUGAAACUGGUUAUCUUGAGUUAUUAUGAAGUAGUUAGAAUAUGUAGUGUAGCGGUGAAAUGCAUAGAUAUUACAUAGAAUACCAAUUGCGAAGGCAGAUUACUAAUAAUAUACUGACACUGAUGGACGAAAGCGUGGGGAGCGAACAGGAUUAGAUACCCUGGUAGUCC
rnacentral:rRNA from 1 species